ensembl:lncRNA CSMD2-AS1 CSMD2 antisense RNA 1
ACACUUCCAUCAAACAGUACCUGCCCCUUAGGUGUGCUAGGGAAUAAAUGAAAUGCCUGGGACAUCAUCGUUAAGUGGCAUCUGAUGCAUAAGCAGUGCCCUAGGAAUGGGGUUGCCUGCCUUGGUCUCUAAAGGAUGGGUUCAAAAGGCAAGAGCAGCACACAAGAAGAUAGCUUCAAGCAGGAGAUAAAGCUUGGCCCAGGGCCCAAAGGGGAUACGACCCUUCAGGUUGGCCCUGACCUCUGGGUUGGAUUACCAGUGACACAAUGAACAUUUCAUUAUGAGGCCAUCCCUUGAGCAAACUGACAUGCUGAAAGCUGCCCUAUGGAGAGGCUCAUGUGGCAAGGAACAGAGGGUGGCUUCUGGCCAACACCCAGUGAGGAACUCAGGCCCUCAGUCAAACAGCCUGCAAGGAACUGAACCCUGCCAAUAACCGAGCCAUCCCGUGAGGCCGUUACUGCAAACAAGCUGAAAAUCCUGCUUUGUUUCUUUUGGACACAACAUGCUUUCCUUCAGCUUCAGUAGACGAUGAGGCCAGCACCACAUGGGCUAGAUGUACAUGAGAUGUGAGCAACCACACUUCCCCUCUGACGGGGACAGACAGCAUCACAGGCUGAGCUCUGAAACUUCUCCUGGCAGUUCAAGAGAGCGAUGGAGGGAAUGCUGGGGCACAUCUAAAUAAAGCCUCCAAGUGGGAGUUCCUGCUCAGCUAUGCAUGAGCUCUUUGUGACUUCAUCUCCCAGCCUACAACUUGUGAAAUAAGCACGACUUCACUCAGAGCACAGCCAGAAACAUACAAACUUUCCAAAAAUAUUUGAAUGUUGACAGCA